rnacentral:rRNA from 1 species
GAUGAACGCUAGCGGCAGGCCUAAUACAUGCAAGUCGAGGGGCAGCACGGCAGCAAUGCUGGUGGCGACCGGCGCACGGGUGCGUAACGCGUAUGCAACCUACCUUUGACAGUGGGAUAGCCCCGAGAAAUCGGGAUUAAUACCGCAUAACAAUGCGAUCUGGCAUCAGAAUGCAUUUAAAACUCCGGUGGUCAAAGAUGGGCAUGCGUGACAUUAGCUGGUUGGUGAGGUAACGGCUCACCAAGGCUACGAUGUCUAGGGGUUCUGAGAGGAUGAUCCCCCA